rnacentral:tRNA from 1 species
GCGGCUAUAGCUCAAUGGCAGAGCGCUGGUCUGUGGCACCAGAUACACGGGUUCGAUCCCCGUUAGCCGCC